UUACGGCCAUAUCACAUUGAAACACCAGUUCUCGUUUGGUCACUAAAGUUAAGCAAUGUUGAGCCUAGUCAGUAUUCAGAUGGGUAACUGCUUGGGAAUACUAGGUACU